UCUCCCUGCUCUCCCCUCCGUCGCCGCCGCCGCCUCCCCUCUCGUCACCUUCUUUCCUUGACUAUCGAAACCCUAGGCCUAGAGGCAAUAUCCUGUAUGAUUCCGCCACCGGCACGACGAGGACCCUCGCCUGCCGCCUCUCUGAUCAUCUUCGCUCCCUCGGCCUCGCCUUCGACCUCGUCGACCGCCGGCACAGCGAUAUGAAACUGCCAAGCACUCAUUUUGCGGCAUAGAGAGUCAUAGGUAAGACUGAUUUGGUGAUUCUGAUGUCACUUUGGAUCCUGCUUCUGGUUGUCAAUCCUUCUGUCUGGUUCACAGGUGUGCAACAUUAACUGACAGAAGGUUUUGAAUGUUCAUUUUGCUCAUUGUAUUUUCUUCUGACCAUCCUUUCUGCCCUUGUGGAGCUUUGGCUGCCUGGUCUUCGAGCGCAUGGAUGGAUGAAUUGCCCGAUUGUGGUUCAAGGCAAUCUUCUGUUAGGCCGUGUCUUCAAGAAAGUCAUCUAAGACGGAAGACUAUAUGAUCCUGGGGUAUAUAUGGUGCAGAGAAUUUGAUCCAGAUCAAUGUCGAUACAAGGAAAAAGAGGCACCAUGGAGCUGCUCGUCAGAUUUUGCUGGUUCAGGUUCAGAUAGCAUUAUGCAUUUUUCCCAACAAGUAGUUGCACUGCCAGAUCAGUUUUAUCCUGGAAAGAGAACUACAGUAUCCAUAAGUAGUGCUCAAGCCCAUUCUCGGGAUCAAUGAUCUCACCAAGAUUGGAGCAAUCAAACAACUGCUAAGUUCCAACAUGAAAGCUUAGCAUAGAAGAAAAGAAAGCAGAAGAAGCAGAGGGAAAAAGGUAAAAUGGAUUUAUCUAACCAACACAGAACUCUAGCAGAAGUGUACAGUGGAUGGGUUUAGGUGCUCUUGCGGGGCUGCUGGCUCUUUCUCCUUGUUCUGCUCCUUGGCUUGUCCUCUUCCUCUUGAUGUUGGAUUGGUUCCAUCUCCCCAGCCUCUUCCUUCCCCUCGUCAUCAUCAUCAUCAUCAUCGUCAUCAGCAACAGCAACUGCAGCAGCAGCAGCUAACGAGGAACAGGAUUCCUCUGCUCCCUUUCGCUCCUCUUCUUCGCCUCCGCUCCCCACCUUCUUCUUCUUCAGCUUAUCUUCCUCUUCAGCGACCACUUUCCGAGGCCGGCCUCGUCUUCUCUUAGCCUGCUCUUUAUCCACGGGUUGCCCCGACGACUCGCUGAUCGACCUCCUCUUAGACUUCUUCUUCCCCAUAUGCAAUCAAAGCUUGAUCUUUCUUUCUGCUCUCCCUCUCUCUCACUGAUCCCUCAACAAAAAGCCAAGACUGGUCUGGUAGAUCAAUGGAAAGUUGAACGCGGAUCAUAUCCUUGUCACGGACUCUCUGUCUACAGAAGAGAUCUCAUGCUCGCCCUCAGAAAAGUUCAUGUAACAUCUGCUAUUCCUUCUUCCAACCGAAGCCCGAUCUCAAUCAUCUCUCUCUGUCUACUGCUCUGCUUCUCCGAAGUGGUAGAGAAAGAUGAGAAGCAUAAAAAUCCAACCGCUGCUUCUCUCGGUGUCAGUGGCGUGGAUAUGAGGAAAGAAUACCGGCUGCUUCGAUUAGGUUAACCACGUCAGCCGAUGGGCCCACCCCUGAUCAAAUCAAAAUAAGGAUCGCCAGCCAAUCCAAUCGUUCUCAAUCUUCCUGCUUUGAAUAUUUGACUUGAUUUAUAAGAAUUAGAUAAAUUUCUUAAUAAUAUUAUUUCAUAUUUAAUAUUUUAAUUAGUGACUGAAUUAGAAUGUGUCGAAGAAUACGUCUCUUCGAAGCUUAAGUUAGUUUUUGAAUUAGAUAUAAUUAUAAAUAGUAUCGAUCUAUAUUGAUUAUGUACCUAAGUGACUUUUAUAUAGUAAGAUUUACUAUCGCUGCA